CAUGUGGUUUAAUUCGGAAGCAACGCGAAGAACCUUUACCAGGUCUUGACAUCCCGAUGCUAUUUCUAGAGAUAGAAAGUUACUUCGGUACAUCGGUGACAGGUGGUGCAUGGUUGUCGUCAGCUCGUGUCGUGAGAUGUUGGGUUAAGUCCCGCAACGAGCGCAACCCCUAUUGUUAGUUGCCAUCAUUCAGUUGGGCACUCUAGCGAGACUGCCGGUAAUAAACCGGAGGAAGUGGGAUGACGUCAAAUCAUCAUGCCCCUUAUGACCUGGGCUACACACGUGCUACAAUGGUUGGUACAACGAGUUGCGAGUCGGUGACGGCGAGCUAAUCUCUUAAAGCCAAUCUCAGUUCGGAUUGUAGGCUGCAACUCGCCUACAUGAAGUCGGAAUCGCUAGUAAUCGCGGAUCAGCACGCCGCGGUGAAUACGUUCCCGGGCCUU
rnacentral:rRNA from 1 species